CUAAAAUUGCAUAUUGCCUUGUUCAUAAACCCGUUUCUCCCUUUUCAUAUUCGGCGAUUUAGGGUUUGCUUGUCUCUGCAGAAAAAUGGCUGAUUCACCUGUAAAAAGGUAUUCACGCUCUCCUUCUCCUUGGGAAGAAGAAAAGGUAAGAUCUAGGUCAAGGUCGAGAUCCCAGUCUAGGUCAUGGUCGAGGCCAAGAGGAAGAUCCAGGUCCAGAUCAAGGUCGAGAAGUCACGGAAGGGUUGAACCUUCUAAUCCUGGCACCACACUUUACGUAACUGGUUUAUCCACCAGGGUGACACAGAGGGACCUUGAGGAGCAUUUCUCAAAAGAGGGAAAGGUAAAAUCAGCUUUCUUGGUUGUGGAGCCGCGUUCUCGUGUCUCUCGUGGUUUUGCUUUUAUAACAAUGGAUAGUCUUGAGGAUGCCGAUCGCUGCAUUAAGCACCUAAAUCAGUCUGUCCUUGAAGGCCGCUACAUAACAGUGGAGAAGUCACGGAGGAAACGGGCGAGGACUCCAACGCCUGGUCAUUAUCUAGGACUUAAGAACGCAAGGGGUGAUGGUUUACGCGGCGACCGUGGUGACCGUGGUAGGUAUCGUGGCCGUGAAGACUAUGGGCGCCGUGAAGACUAUGGGCGCCGGGAGGACUAUGGGCACAGAAGAUCUCCAAAGCGUUCGCCUUAUCGAGGUGGUCGAGAUUAUUCUCCUAGGCGCUCGCCUUAUGGGGGAAGGUCAAGAAGGGAACGAUCCAGGUCAUAUUCUCCGUAUGAAAGGAACUAUGCCCGUGGUGGUAGAUAGGAUGGAAUCUGGUAGCCCUACUUACGGGGGGAAAACUACUUGUAAGGAUCUUUAUGAGUUUGGUUGAAACUAGAUUUAGGUAUAACGUACCAAUUAAUGAAAGUAUGUGUGCUCGUGCGCCUGAUAUGCUCUUGCCUUAGCUGACUUUUGAAAUUAUACUGCUUAUGUCAAGUACUAUGUGUGUUUUGCUAUGCCAUAUUCUAGGUUUAUGCCA